rnacentral:tRNA from 2 species
UGGGGCGUCGCCAAGUGGUAAGGCAUCGGUUUUUGGUACCGACAUUCGCAGGUUCGAAUCCUGCCGCCCCAGCCA